rnacentral:lncRNA from 1 species
AGUGACCCAGGAAACCCGGACACGCAACCAUCAUGUAUCAUUUCUGUGAUGCUGGUAACCUGCCCAUGGAUCGCAGCCUGGCUCGGCAUGAGCCUGACAACACAUCAGCACCAGUUGCUAGCGUCCCUUUUCUGACAGAAGCUUCAUUCUUCACCAUGGAGAAAACCCAACCGAUAAUGACAGCCACCAACGGUCCAUACACAAUAAACAAACCCCACACAUAGGUUUGAUCUUUCAAAAAAAGUUGCAAGACUGCAGUUUUAAAUGUGCUGGGGCCAUAUUUUGCUAUAUAGAUUACAGUUUUUCCCAGUAUUUCCUGUUACCUUAUGAUAAUUUCUGCUUUUGGGCAACUGGACUCUGGCAACUAUUACUUCAUGCUGAGGGUAGUGCUUCAGGAACAAAAGAGUCAAUUUUUGGCUUUUGAGUUUCAAAUAUGAUAUUUUGUGGCUCAUGGCAGAGAUAAAUAUUUUAAUUUAAAAAACCUAGGGCCCAGAAUCUAAGCUAUCCGUUUUGAAGAAGAAGUAAAAAGCCAAGCUACCAUGACUUCAGAUUAAAUGAAGACUCUCUGGACUGGAGGAGGGAGAAGAUAGUAAAAGGAACUAUUUGAUGUGAGAGGAUUCCUGAUGGCCUCCAUCUCCCACACUUCUCACCCCUGUCUUCUUUGGGAAGACAGAAGCCCUACAGAAGUUUGGACACCUGCGGCCAGAAGAGCUCUGUGUACCUGAGUAGAAUCCAUUAGCCAAACAGAACCCACAGCCCCUUUGUAGGAUGACUAUAUCACUUAAUUAUCACAACCAGGACAUUUGUGAGGGUGAAAAUGGUUUAGGAUAGUGCUAAAUCUGGUGGAAUGCCUAGACAGUAGAUGUCAAACAGGACUGUGUGGGGAAACCAGGACUUCCAGUAACUCGCUAACAUUAUGAGGUAGCACAAGAAUUGUCUUUAACGUAGACAGAAAGUAGAACAGUGGUUACCAGGGACCAGCAGGUAGAGGUAAUGGAGAGCUAUGGUUUAAUGGAUACAGAGUUUCAGUUUGAAAUGAUGAAAAGUGCUGGGGAUGGAUGAUGGUGAUGGGCGCACAAGGCCAAUGUACUUAAUACUACUGAAUUCCACACUUAAAAAUGGUUAAAAUGGCAAAUUUUAUCUUAUGUAUAUUUUACCACAAUAAAAAAAUUACUUAAAAAAGAGAAUUAUCUGUA